ACAGCAGUCGCCGCGGUAAUACAGAGGGUGCGAGCGUUAAUCGGAUUUACUGGGCGUAAAGCGUGCGUAGGCGGCUAAUUGAGUCGGAUGUGAAAUCCCCGAGCUUAACUUGGGAAUUGCAUUCGAUACUGGUUAGCUAGAGUGUGGGAGAGGAUGGUAGAAUUCCAGGUGUAGCGGUGAAAUGCGUAGAGAUCUGGAGGAAUACCGAUGGCGAAGGCAGCCAUCUGGCCUAACACUGACGCUGAGGUACGAAAGCAUGGGGAGCAAACAGGAUUAGAUACCCCGGUAGUCCCUGUCUCUUAUAC
rnacentral:rRNA from 1 species